rnacentral:rRNA from 1 species
AUACGUAGGGCGCAAGCGUUGCUCGGAUUCACUGGGCGUAAAGGGCGUCUAGGCGGCCACGCAAGUCGCGUGUGAAAUUUCUACGGCUCAACCGAGAAACGGCACGCGAUACUGCGUGGCUUGAGUGCGGUAGAGGGAAGCGGAAUUCAGGGUGUAACGGUGAAAUGUUCAGAUAUCCUGGAGAACACCGAUGGCGAAGGCAGCUUCCUGGGCCUGCACUGACGCUGAAGCGCGAAAGCUAGGGGAGCAAACAGGAUUAGAAACCCUAGUAGUCC